AAGGUGACUUACAAGAUUUAAAUUAACUUGGUUGCUGAUGGUUCUGAAAAAAUACAGUUCUUUUAUUUGAGGGUGUGCCAUUUUGAAGACUGAAACAUUGGAGUUUUGUCCUUGAGGAUAAAGGAAGUCUUUGGGAAAGUCUAUUUUCUAUAGCAAAAAUAUGAACCCCAGAUGGAAUCCUCUAAAGAGCUCAUUCAACAUAGUAGAAGCUGGUGGAGGCAUUGACACCCAGUCAGCUUGAAGAGUCUCAAAUGGAUCUUACCACUGAAAAAUCAAGAUGGCACUCCACUAUGGGGAAUUGAGGAAAAUGGAUUAAUACAAGAGUCCUGUGAUAAUAAACUACAAGACAGGGUUCUUUUAACAUGGAUUCCAUGAAGUGAAGACAUAGGUUUCUUAUUCAACACAAAUGGACAGUGGAUUUGACUUUCCAAAGACUUUUUUGAGCCAUUGAAACAAGUACAUUUUGACAUUUGGAGAAGAAAAGUAGCACACUGAACACUGAUAAAGUUUGUAUGCCUGGAAUUUUUUCCAUUUGAUUUGUAUGAGUAUAACCUCGUGGAAUGUUAACUUUAAUAAAAUUUAUGACACUUUCAAA